rnacentral:rRNA from 1 species
GCGCUAGCGACAGGCUUAACACAUGCAAGUCGAGCCUUAGCACAGGUAGCAAUACCGGGUGGCGACCGGCGCACGGGUGAGUAACGCGUAUGCAACUUGCCUAUCAGAGGGGGAUAACCCGGCGAAAGUCGGACUAAUACCGCAUGAAGCAGGGAUCCCGCAUGGGAAUAUUUGCUAAAGAUUCAUCGCUGAUAGAUAGGCAUGCGUUCCAUUAGGCAGUUGGCGGGGUAACGGCCCACCAAACCGACGAUGGAUAGGGGUUCUGAGAGGAAGGUCCCCCACAUUGGUACUGAGACACGGACCAAACUCCUACGGGAGGCAGCAGUGAGGAAUAUUGGUCAAUGGCCGAGAGGCUGAACCAGCCAAGUCGCGUGAGGGAUGAAGGUUCUAUGGAUCGUAAACCUCUUUUAUAAGGGAAUAAAGUGCGGGACGUGUCCCGUUUUGUAUGUACCUUAUGAAUAAGGAUCGGCUAACUCCGUGCCAGCAGCCGCGGUAAUACGGAGGAUCCGAGCGUUAUCCGGAUUUAUUGGGUUUAAAGGGUGCGUAGGCGGCCUUUUAAGUCAGCGGUGAAAGUCUGUGGCUCAACCAUAGAAUUGCCGUUGAAACUGGGGGGCUUGAGUAUGUUUGAGGCAGGCGGAAUGCGUGGUGUAGCGGUGAAAUGCAUAGAUAUCACGCAGAACCCCGAUUGCGAAGGCAGCCUGCCAAGCCAUGACUGACGCUGAUGCACGGAAGCGUGGGGAUCAAACAGGAUUAGAUACCCUGGUAGUCCACGCAGUAAACGAUGAUCACUAGCUGUUUGCGAUACACUGUAAGCGGCACAGCGAAAGCGUUAAGUGAUCCACCUGGGGAGUACGCCGGCAACGGUGAAACUCAAAGGAAUUGACGGGGGCCCGCACAAGCGGAGGAACAUGUGGUUUAAUUCGAUGAUACGCGAGGAACCUUACCCGGGUUUGAACGCAUUCGGACCGAGGUGGAAACACCUUUUCUAGCAAUAGCCGUUUGCGAGGUGCUGCAUGGUUGUCGUCAGCUCGUGCCGUGAGGUGUCGGCUUAAGUGCCAUAACGAGCGCAACCCUUGCCACUAGUUACUAACAGGUAAAGCUGAGGACUCUGGUGGGACUGCCAGCGUAAGCUGCGAGGAAGGCGGGGAUGACGUCAAAUCAGCACGGCCCUUACAUCCGGGGCGACACACGUGUUACAAUGGCGUGGACAAAGGGAAGCCACCUGGCGACAGGGAGCGAAUCCCCAAACCACGUCUCAGUUCGGAUCGGAGUCUGCAACCCGACUCCGUGAAGCUGGAUUCGCUAGUAAUCGCGCAUCAGCCAUGGCGCGGUGAAUACGUUCCCGGGCCUUGUACACACCGCCCGUCAAGCCAUGGGAGCCGGGGGUACCUGAAGUCCGUAACCGCGAGGAUCGGCCUAGGGUAAA